rnacentral:rRNA from 1 species
UACGUAGGUGGCAAGCGUUGUCCGGAUUUACUGGGCGUAAAGAGCGCGCAGGCGGUCGGAUAAGUCGAAUGUGAAAGCCCCCGGCUCAACUGGGGAGGGUCAUUCGAUACUGUUCGACUCGAAGGCAGGAGAGGGAAGUGGAAUUCCCGGUGUAGCGGUGAAAUGCGUAGAGAUCGGGAAGAACACCAACGGCGAAGGCGCUCUGCUGGGCCGAAACUGACACUGAGAGACGAAAGCUAGGGGAGCAAAUGGG